rnacentral:tRNA from 1 species
GGGCCGCUAGCUCAAUUGGUAGAGCAUCUCCCUCUUAAGGAGGUGGUUCCGAGUUCGAGUCUCGGGCGGCUCACCC